CAGUCGCCGCGGUAAUACGUAGGUGGCAAGCGUUGUCCGGAAUUAUUGGGCGUAAAGGGCUCGCAGGCGGUUUCUUAAGUCUGAUGUGAAAGCCCCCGGCUCAACCGGGGAGGGUCAUUGGAAACUGGGAAACUUGAGUGCAGAAGAGGAGAGUGGAAUUCCACGUGUAGCGGUGAAAUGCGUGGAGAUGUGGAGGAACACCAGUGGCGAAGGCGACUCUCUGGUCUGUAACUGACGCUGAGGAGCGAAAGCGUGGGGAGCGAACAGGAUUAGAGACCCCAGUAGUCCCUGUCUCUUAUAC
rnacentral:rRNA from 1 species